rnacentral:rRNA from 1 species
UACAGAGGGGGCAAGCGUUGUUCGGAAUUACUGGGCGUAAAGGGCGCGUAGGCGGCCUACUAAGUCGAACGUGAAAUCCCCGGGCUCAACCCGGGAACUGCGUCUGAUACUGGUGGGCUUGAAUUCGGGAGAGGGAUGUGGAAUUCCAGGUGUAGCGGUGAAAUGCGUAGAUAUCUGGAGGAACACCGGUGGCGAAGGCGGCAUCCUGGACCGAUAUUGACGCUGAUGCGCGAAAGCCAGGGGAGCAAAC